rnacentral:rRNA from 1 species
UACGUAGGGGGCUAGCGUUGUCCGGAAUCAUUGGGCGUAAAGCGCGUGUAGGCGGUCCGGUAAGUCCGCUGUGAAAGUCGGGGGCUCAACCCUCGGAUGCCGGUGGAUACUGUCAAGCUCGAGUCCGGAAGAGGAGUGUGGAAUUCCUGGUGUAGCGGUGAAAUGCGCAGAUAUCAGGAGGAACACCGAUGGCGAAGGCAGGUCUCUGGGCCAUAACUGACGCUGAGAAGCGAAAGCAUGGGGAGCGAACAGG